rnacentral:rRNA from 1 species
AUGGUUGUCGAUGCCCUGGCCGCCAUCCUAGUUAAGGCCACGGCUGCGGGGCAUAUUCGAGGCUUGGUCCCGCACCUUGUUGGAGGGGGAGGGGUGACCCUUCUCCAAUACGCGGAUGACACCAUUAUUAUGACGGAGGGAUCCGCCCUCGAGAUUUCCAACCUGAAGUUCCUCCUUCUGUGCUUCCAGCAAAUGUCGGGCCUGACCAUCAACUUUGACAAGAGCGAAGUGAUGGUGCUCGGCUACCCCGAUGAGGACGCUCAGUCCAUUGCCGAUCGGCUUAACUGCCGGCUGGGAUCUUUUCCCACGACCUAUCUGGGGAUCCCCAUUAGCGACUCGCGCCUCACCGUGGCGGACCUCCGCCCCACGGUGACCCGUAUGCAGCACCGAGUUGAGCCCUGGAAAGGGCGCUGGCUGUUGAAGGCGGCACGUGUGAUCCUUAUCAACUCGUCGCUUGCCAGCCUUCUGUGGUUCCUCAUGAGCUUUUACAGCUUUCAUGAAACCCUUCAUCAGGAGAUCGCCAAGUACCAGGCCAGAUUUUUCUGGGCUGGCGAGGCAGGCAGACAGAAAUAUCACAUGGUCAGCUGGCCAGACAUCUGCAAACCCAAAGACCAGGGUGGCCUUGGGAUUUUGUCCUCUCGGCGCAUGAACAUCGCCCUCCUCACCCGCUGGCUAUGGCGCAUUGCCAAUGGGGAGGGAGGCCUUUGGUUGACUAUCAUCCGGAACAAGUACCUGCGUGGCUAG